rnacentral:rRNA from 1 species
UGGGGAAUAUUGGACAAUGGGGGCAACCCUGAUCCAGCAAUGCCGCGUGUGUGAAGAAGGUCUUCGGAUUGUAAAGCACUUUCGACGGGGACGAUGAUGACGGUACCCGUAGAAGAAGCCCCGGCUAACUUCGUGCCAGCAGCCGCGGUAAUACGAAGGGGGCUAGCGUUGCUCGGAAUGACUGGGCGUAAAGGGCGUGUAGGCGGUUUACACAGUCAGAUGUGAAAUCCCCGGGCUUAACCUGGGAGCUGCAUUUGAUACGUGUAGACUAGAGUGUGAGAGAGGGUUGUGGAAUUCCCAGUGUAGAGGUGAAAUUCGUAGAUAUUGGGAAGAACACCGGUGGCGAAGGCGGCAACCUGGCUCAUGACUGACGCUGAGGCGCGAAAGCGUGGGGAGCAAACAGGAUUAGAUACCCUGGUAGUCCACGCUGUAAACGAUGUGUGCUAGAUGUUGGG